rnacentral:lncRNA from 1 species
CUUCAGUGGAGUGGGUGUGACUGGAGUGUGCUCCAGACUGAUUAAUUAAAGACGGGUAAGAGGGCAGUUUUUGUGGAGUCAAGGGACAUGUGGGGAGUAACAGAGGAGUUUGUGGAGACUUAGACCAACUGUCCUGAUCCCUGAGCCAGAUGGUAGCAAUAAGUUCUGCAGUCCUUUCAUAAAACUAAAGGAAAUCUCUAAAUAUGAUGCUUACCCUUUCGCCUAUUGACAAGCUAGUUAUUCAGAUAUUUUUACUCUGGCCUUGCAAGACCCUGAAUUUGCUGCACUGACGCAGGGACACCGGGCUGACCUCAGUGACAUCUUUGUUCUUCAGUUUUCUCCAGUCAGCCACUGUCUGAGGAGUCAUCAGCCUCUGCUGUAAUGACCCUGACACCUGUGUCAGUGCAGGUUAAAAAUACCUCAAACAUGAAUACUUCAUUAUAAAACAGGGCUCAUUAAGAAGCUGUCUCAUUGACUCAAACCUUCAGCUGACAGUUUAAUAUCAGCUCCUGAGAGAUGGAGUUUAAAAAGCAGCAGACGUGAUGACAGCAGACAUCACUCUUAUCUCCAGUCUUUUCCUGUCAGUUGGUUGGUCAGGGAUGUUUUAAAGCAGAGCUGUUCAUUUUCUCCGAGUAGCACCAACUGUGAGUGAGUGAGUGAGUGAAUGAAUAAUCAGGCAAUUUGUGCUUUUCUAAAAGGGAAAUGAGCUUGACUGGACAACCUACCUGAGUUACACAAUUAGACACACACACACACACGAUAACAACAACAAAACAAGAAGAGAUGCAGCAGCUGUCAAUCAAAGCAAGCCACUUCUUUCAAGUCUUGUCACCACGGCAACAGGGGAACUUCUUUGCCCUGCAGCACUAAGGACCCACAUACAUGCAGCUUUAGCGUAUGUGUAUGUGGAUUCCCCGCUUUUAUUUUGCAGCAUUGCAGAUGUAACUAUGCGUGUGAGUGUGUGAGUGAAUGUAUGUGUAGAUAAGGAUGAGUUUUGUUGCUGAACUGCAAAUAUUAAACAUUUUAUCCCUUACUUUGGGAGUUUUUUUCUUCUUAUCCACGCAGAAGAAGCCUAGGGGACUCAGGAAGAAAGCAAAUAGCAUCAGCGCUCAUCUUUCGGUGUAGCAUUUAAAUACAAACGUGUCGGCUUUACAUUAGAGACAACCACCGCUGACAUGCUUUGAGAAUAAUGAAUGGCUGACUGCAUUGAUUUUUUUUUCCAUGCAUACAUUACCAUAAUACUUGCCCGUGGGAUGUACGUGAGGAAUGUGUAAAUAUAUGUCGUUUCAAGCAAGCGCCUGUACCUGGGCUGAAGAGCUAGAAUGAAAGGUUCAUCUUACAAGAAGAGUAGACCAAGCCUCCUCUGGGGACGUCUCUCUUGUUCCUCGGCUAACGUAACCAGGCUAAAGAUUGAGGCACAAAUCAAUACCUGCCUCAUCACCACAGCAAGACCUGCGAUCUCCGAUGCAACGCGCUGCUCAGAGGCUGGUUAAUCACUGGGUCCUGUGGGGACAGCCAGUGUCAGGAGGCGAGUGGGCGAUGGAGGUUCAUCCACAGCUUGGAGAGCAGUCCAGAGCAAUUUGACCUCUUGUGCCCUCACAAGGAAUCAAUAAGUGUGAGCUCUGUUCAUCACAAAGACACAAACAAGAGACCCUCAGAGCCACAGGAAUGCAUUAUCAUCUCACUACUUGCAUCCAGACUGAAGCACUUUUUUGGAGAAUUUGGUCUGAUGAACUAGGGAAGGAAUCACUGAGGAGUAAUGGUUGAAAAUGAGAAAGAAACAGAGUCUCAUUUGUAUUCAGUGGCACACCCCUGAGCUUCAGAGGCUAUGCUGCCUCUCAUGUCGGUACUUCCUCUUGUUCAAAUGUUACCUGCAUGUUAAUAUAAUGAGACUGGGGCACAUAGCAGAAAUCAAUUUCAUAUUAUCAAUGGGAAUAGUUUUGCAAUGUUAAUCAUCCAAAAGUCUCAAAAUGGAAAGGUUAUGCAAAUUUCACCUCACUAAAGAUAGACAGCGAGAUCACAUGUAAUAUCUACACAGCUGUUCUUUCAUGUUGUCCACAAAAGCAGAAGAUGUUAAUCAAGGCAAGCUGCACAAGAGAGACCAUCCCCUAUACAGAGAAACAAAUGCCUGAAAAACAACUUAUGCGAUACCCUCAGAUCCAACAGGAUGUUUUGUGCGUAUCUGUAUGAAAUAAAAAUUGGAUGCAUUCUUAUGGUGCGUUCCAUUUACCUUGGAAAUCAGAGUUGGGAGUGACGUCACACUCGAGUUCUUAUCGUUUCAGUUACAAAGUCAGAAAAAAGUAGGGUUCGUGUUUUCUACCGCCAAAACAACAACAACAACAACAACCUCUCAAUUAUCUUUAGAGGAUUGGGUUGCCUAUUGCCAAAGGCCAUUGGCACAAACCAUCACCAAUACUAGGUUAACGUAUGCCAAUUAAGGCUCAUUAACUGAUUUGUGUAUCCAUAAUCCAGAGGUCAUUCACUGCAUCAUAGACUACUAUUUACAACCCUUCUCCACAUAGACAGGUAACUGAAAAAAACCUAAAUAAGAAAACACCGGCUGAAGCUGCCAGGCUACGAUUGGCCGUUGUUAGCACGGCCUGCUUCGUAGUUUGCAUACACACAUGAAAAACAUAAAUUACACAAUGACAGCAUUUCCAUAUAUAUAUAUACAUCUAACAAUACUAUUUUAUAUGGCUGACAUAUAGUGACAACAAAUAGUAAAAAGUGUUAAUAAAAGAAUUAUUACAGAAGCCUCUACUUAUUGUUUACAACCGGCAGCCAUCAUCUUUAAAUGUCAGCUUUGGGGGGUUGGAGCGUCUGACUUUCCAAGUCGGAAAUCUGACCUUGGGAGUCGUUCCAGUUGAAAGUUCUGACUCAGAGCUUGGAAAUCCCGACUUUAAACUGGAAUGCAACAUUAAAACGCCAACGAAAGCUUGGUCAGAGUUUCACUGUAACAUCAUAAUAAACUCAGUUACAUCUUUAUGAGGCUUUCUUUUCUGGAGCUCAAAUUUGGAGUGGAGCCGAUUUGGAGACAAGUUGAGGCAAAGAUGCAUCACAGACAGUGUUUUAUCUUUAUUAAAAUCGUAUUUAUCUCAUUAGGAUAAAUGAUCACACAGUCAAGAAAGAGAGUGGCUGAAAAUAUCUGACUGUUCUGUGUGAUUUAACCAACAUGUAAACAUUCAUUUAGCUCACAAAUCUCAGGUUAGUGUUGGAGUGGGAUUCCAGGCAAAGUGAUUAAUACAAGUCCAUACCACUAAAUGAGAAAAAUGAAGUGCCUGACAGCUUACUUUGUGCAUGUUUAUCGCUGCAUAUCCAGAUUCAGUCCAUCUGUUUCAGCAUCAAAUAGACUCUCCCUCUUCUCUGAUGCACUGCUUCACAUUCACAAACCCCCCUGAACAUUUCCUCCUCUUUCUGACAGCCAUAAAUGAAAUCCUGGACUCUCAAACCUGUUAACAUGAGUAAUGGCUUCUCUCUCUGCUCCAUUUAUCUAUUUACUCCCUUUUCCAUCCUUAUCUAUUUAUUUCUUUUUGGUCCCUUUCUGCUCUUUUACCGCCGUGCUCCCCCCCCUCUUGACACAUUGUGCUCGAUAAGCAUUUUUCCUCCGCUGACAAAUCGUUUGUCUGCAGCUACCUCUUCUGUGAAAUUGUACUUGUCAAAUGCAGGCGUGCAUUUUUGCAAAAUAUGAUCGCAGAAAUUCAAACGUAUUUCAGUAUCUGAACCCCCCCCCCUUCCUACUCUCUCCUUUGUUUCCCACUUUUCUGUUCUUCACUUUGCAGCCUUGAGAAAAAAGGGAGAACUUUUUCUCAGACGCUAUUUGAAAUCCAUCUUCAGCCGCUGAGGAGUCUUUUACUUUUUAAUCACACUCUUUCAAAGGACUUUUAAUCAAACUCCUUCCCCUGUGCGCUGCUCUCUGUCUGUGUGUGUAAGUGUGUGUGUGUGGUGUGACGUUGAUGUGGACAGUGAGUGAAAGCCAAGAGAAUAAAAAGAGACCCCAUCAUUACACGCAGCUGUCCUGUCGUUCCAUUAAGCAGAACAAAAUGACCCUUAUCACCCUGUCUUCCCCGUGGAGACAUAAUUGGGUUUUCAGGGGAAAAUUUCUUAGGACCUAAAUUGCAUUUGUUCUGUCUCCUCCCCUCUGCUGCCCCAAUCAGCCUGCCCCUGUAGGGAGAAGUCUGCCAGGGCUCCACAGGAAAUAAUAAUCCCCGUUGUCACACACUAAUGGUCAUUGCUGCAUAACUGCAUCACUGUAUGGAGAAUAAUAACAUUAAUUCAGUGGAGAUGGGUGUCAACGACUUAUAUAUGAGGCCAAUUUCUGUCUUUGCAAGUGGGAUGAGGCUGUGAAAUUAUUAAAAAGCACUUGAUUGGUCAUUUGGAUUGUCCUCGGCUAAUACUUGACACAUAGGUAUUGUUAAUGGCUUCAAUUAAAAAAGUUUAAAUGAAUUUAUUCACCCGACAGGGGGACCAUUGUUAAAAGUCUGGAUUUUACUGCUGAAGGGCCUUUGGAAAAAUAAGCAAUGGGACAAUAUUCGGGCCAGUUUAUCUCCAUAUAAAUAUAAUGUAUAUUCUUGGUCAGUUUAAAUCACGAAAACGACAUGUUAUAGAUGUCUGAUUCAAGCUUAUUCAGCAAAGCCCACCAGCAAGAAAAUCGAAGCUCCUGAUCUGAUUUGGAGAUAUUUCUCAUUGAAGAUUGUCUGUAGUGGAAUAUGUACAUAGACUGUAUAUACUAUACCUGGCUCCACCUUCUGUCGUUAUACAAAUUUGAAGCCAAGUUGCUCUCGGUAUUUCUGGGAUUUUCUCGCGAUUCACUCGCGCAGUAGCACUGAACGCACUCCACCAUUUGCGCACAAGCGUUGUAUGCAUUCAGCGGGAGAGUUGCUGUCAUAGACAUUAUACAUGUAGACACCUCAUUACGUGCUGGAGCGUAAUCCAGCAUCACCGCCAUAUUGGAUGGGUAUCCCCACUCCAGGCUCGCUCAAGCACAAAACGGGGUCAGUGGAGAACGAGCAACUAUGCCCAUAUUU